GGGCGAUUGGCACAGGGGUAGCGCGCUCCCUUCACACGGGAGAGGUCAUUGGUUCAAAUCCAAUAUCGCCCA
rnacentral:tRNA from 1 species